rnacentral:rRNA from 1 species
UACGUAGGGGGCAAGCGUUGUCCGGAAUCAUUGGGCGUAAAGAGCGUGUAGGCGGUCCGGUAAGUCGGCUGUGAAAGUCUAGGGCUCAACCCUGGGAUGCCGGUCGAUACUGCCGGACUAGAGUUCGGAAGAGGCGAGUGGAAUUCCCGGUGUAGCGGUGAAAUGCGCAGAUAUCGGGAGGAACACCAAUGGCGAAGGCAGCUCGCUGGGACGUUACUGACGCUGAGACGCGAAAGCGUGGGGAGCAAACAGG